CUGAAGCGUUUGGGGGAAGG
rnacentral:miRNA from 1 species